GCUGUGUGGAUAAUUAUUACCUUGCAUUAUCACUUCUGUUCUGUUUCAUUUUCUUUAGUGAGUAGCUGUUGUGUGGAUAAUUAUUUCCUAGAAUAUUCAUCACUUUAGCGCUUCAAUAAUAUCUUCUCAAUCUCCUUAACUGUUUGUGUCUCAGGGUUCAACAUUAACCAUGGCCCGAUAACCUGUGGCCACAAAAAGCUACUUUGUGGCCACCACCUGAAAAUACACCCAUGGAAAGACAAAUCACAUCAAAUGGAAAGUGGACAGCAGGAGAAGAUCUUCAACAUUGCAUACUAUUCUGUACGUAACAAAAUCAUGUUCAGUGCUUUCCCAUGGAUACGCAAAUGAAAAAGCCAUAGCAAGAUUCAUUCCCCACAUCUACAAUGACAUCUGGGAGCCAGAUGCAGUAGCAGGAACAGGAACACAGUAACAGGAACACUGUUGUGCACAGUGUCACAUGCAUGCAAUAAAUACUGCAAAAAAGAGAGGCAGAGAGGUGGAGUGAGGUCCUAUUACGCACACACCUACGCACACGAGAGACCCCCCAAGGCCCUUCGAUGUAGGUACUGUACUGUAAGUAAAUAAUCUAGAUCCCUUUGUGUGUGUGUGAGAUAGUGUUAGGUGUGUGUGUGUAUAUUCCCUGUGCCUUUUGUGCCACUGUAAUGUCUCCAGAGUGGCUUGUGUUUAGAUGUGUGUCAGAGAGAGAGAGAUUGGAAAAAAACUGUGUGUGCGCCUCCUCAUACAUGUUUGAUUGGAGGAUUUGGUCUUCUCUCCAUAAACAAAGCUCCCUCAGUCCGAGCAGGGCAGCCCAUUUGAGCGUGCAUAGGUAAGCCAGCAAAAUCGCCUGAUCAACAUUCAUACAGCAUACACACUGGCCAGUGACUCCUCUCUCAUCUCCUCUCCUCACUUUACUUUAAUUCGGCUCAAUUCAAGUAAUUUCAAUCCAGUUGAAUUGUUUUAUUCCCUGCUCUUCUUCUCACACUCUCCUCCUCUUGUCUUCCUGUUGUUUUGUUCUAUUGUCAUCUUCCAUCCUCUUCUCUCCACUCAUGUCCUCUAUUCUGCUCUCCUCUCUUUAAUUCGCUUCUAUUCAAGUCUUUCAGUUCCUUUCAUUCUCUUCCUCUAUGUCUCCUCCUAUCUGUUCCUUCCUAUCUACACUGUUCUAUUGUCAUAUUUCCUCUCUUCCCUCCUCUCCUUUCCUCUCUGUUGUGAUCCCUUUCGUCUUCCGCCACGCAUGUAAUAUUCAUGGAAGGCCAUCAAAGAAAACACACACAUCAGGCUAAAACAGACCUCGCUUAGACAAGCAUGAAAUAAGCAAUUCUGAAUACAAAACAAUAAUCCGCAGGAAAAUCAGCAGGCGCCUCACACGACCGAUUGCUGCUUGCUAAAUGACCACUUUUCCCCCCCACCUUAACCAUCCUCAUCACCCAAAACCCGCUCUGUUCUGUUUCAUACAGAUUUUCUGUUUAAGGCGUUUUGUCGGUUGUGCAAAGUCAAAUAAAAAAAGCAGACAGCAGGAGUCUGGAAGGCAAGGGAAAGAAGCUCCUUAGUCGACUCCCCUUAAAUGAAGUGACACUUUCAACUUGGGGACCCUGAAAGUAUGAGCGGCUUAAUGUCAGACAAUGUUGCUGUUGUAACUGUGAGGGGUGCAGGGGAGGAGAAUCAAAAGACCAGACAUCUACUGUCAUUUAGUCACAGGGAGGAGACAUGAGAAAGAAGUAAUUAGUGAGAAGUGGUUUAAGAGACGGAGAGAAAUGGCAGCGAGGGAGAAGAAAAAAUACCACUGGGAGAGAGAGAGAGAGAGAGAGAGAGAGAGAGGGAGAGAAAGAAAAGAGAAGAUAGUGAGUGGGAGAUGUGAGGAGUGAAAAGAAGGCUAAGCGAGGAAAUGAAACUGCAGAAAAAGAGACGGGAAAAUGACAGAAAUUGAAUAAGUGGAAAAAGGGAGUUCAGAGGAAUUAUUAUAAUGUGGGUCUUAUUUUCAUAGUUUUGACCGUGGGUUAUGGUAACAUACUGCUGAUGUGUGGAACACAGGAACAUCAGACAUGCUGUAAAUAAAUCAUGGAUGUGUGCAACGGACAAUUUAGGUUAUAAUUCUACUGUUAGCUGAAGUUUUCUCUUCUCACUAAGUUAGCUAACUUGGGCCUUUGAUUAAAACUUGUAUGACUGUCUGACUGCUUGUGUUCCUUACCCUGUUAUCUGACUUCUUAUUAGCAAUACUACAAUGCCAUUAAAAGAAUGACGGCCGAACUACACCAAGACUAAGUAAGUAAGUAAAGUAAGAGUAUUCAGCCCUGCUAAUGCUAAUGCUAAUGCUAACAAUAGCUUGUUAACACGCGCUGAUGGGAAUGGCAUUAGUUCUGUAAACCAAAGUAUUUGACAAAUUACAAUUUUGACCUGAUGAUGGCACUAGAUGAAAAGUUAAGGGAUCAAAAAAAAGUUAUUACAAAUCAUGCUGUGGGAGACAUGACCAAAUGUCAUGGAGAUCCGUCCAACAGUUGUCGAGACAUUUCACUCAAACUCACAAAUGUCAACCUGCUGGAGGCUCUUCGAUGAAAAUUCAGGGGAUGGCCAAAGUUAUUAGGACUCAUCCUCCGGACAGGAUGGAUAUGUGUACAAGAUUUCAUGGCUCAUCCAGUAAUUGGAAUAUUUCAGUUUCGACUGACCAGCCUACCGACAUUACCGCCCCUAGAGCCACAGCACUAGCAGUGCUAAAAAUGAGAUCCAAGUUGUAAUAAACUUUAAUUUCCUUUUAGGCAGAAAAGAGAAAUGGAACCAAAAGAGGGAGAGGAAGAAGAAAUGGACAUUGAAGGGCAUCCGGACCUUUAGUUAGCAGGUGGCGGUGAGGUGAGGAGUGAGUGAUGCAGAGGCCUGGUAUGUGGUCCCUCUUGAGAGCAGCGGGGCAGACAGGGGUCCUGUCCCAGCAGCUAGUAUUAUGGCAGCUUGAUGUUGUUUUGGCUUCGAGAGCUGAGGUGUCAUGCUACACAGGGCUAAACUUCACUGACAUAACAGCAGUAUGCGACUGUGUGUGUUUGUUUUUGUGUGUGUGUGUGUGUCUGCCACACCAGCCUCCCCAGCAGUUGGAACCUAGGGGAGGCCCUGUCACGCCUUUCACAAGCCUGGCAACUCAUAAUGCCAUUGUUAGCAUAUGGUUGUGUGCUAAGUGAGUUGUCUUUUGCCUUAUUAAAUAUUCACGAUUACAAACAGAGUGAAACCAUCGCCCUGGUU